rnacentral:rRNA from 1 species
UGCCAGCAGCCGCGGUAAUACGGAGGGUGCAAGCGUUGUUCGGAAUUACUGGGCGUAAAGCGGGCGUAGGCGGUUUAUCAAGUCUGGUGUGAAAUCCCGGGGCUCAACCCCGGACGUGCACUGGAAACUGGUGAACUUGAGUACUGGAGAGGGUGGUGGAAUUCCCGGUGUAGAGGUGAAAUUCGUAGAUAUCGGGAGGAACAUCAGAGGCGAAGGCGGCCACCUGGACAGAUACUGACGCUGAGGUCCGAAAGCGUGGGGAGCAAACAGGAUUAGAUA